GAUCGUAUUAAAAACGUACGAGUGCA
rnacentral:sRNA from 1 species